GGUUAAGCGACUAAGCGUGCACGGUGGAUGCCACAGCAGUCAGGGCGAUGAAAGGGCGCGUGCUAAUCUGGGUAGCGCCGGUAAGGUGAUAUGAACCGUUAUAACCAGCGAUACCCGAAUGGAAACUGAGGUGUGAUUCGUCACACUAUCAUUAACUGAAUCCAUGGGGACAAUGGGGCGGAGCAGGAACUGAAACAUCUAAGUACUGAGGAAAAUCAACAAGAUUCCCAGUAGCGGCGAGCGAACGGGGAGGAGGCAGAGCCUGAAUCAGCAUGUGUUGGUGGAAGCGUCUGGAAAGGCGCGCGAUACAGGGUGACAGCCCCGUACACACAAAAAGCGCAUGUGCUGUGAGCUCGAUAGUAGGGCGGGACACGUGGUAUCCUGUCUGAAUAUGGGGGACCAUCCUCCAAGGCUAAAUACUCUGACACGACCGAUAGUGAACCGGUACCAUUGAGGAAAGGCGAAAAGAACUUAACGAGGGUGAAAAAAGAACGCAGAACAGUGUACGUACCAAGCAGUGGGAGCACAGAGUUUACCUGGCGACGCGGCCACCUUUGUAUAAUGGGUCAGCGACAUAUUCUGUAGCAAGGUUAACCGCAUAGGGGAGCCGGAGGGAAACCGAGUCUUAACCGGGCGUUAGGAUUUGCAGGAGUAGACCCGGGAAAAACGGUGAUCUAGCCAUGGGCAGGUUGAAGGUUGGGUAACACUAACACAGAGGACCGAACCGACUAAUGUUGAAAAAAUUAGCGGAUGACCUGGCUGGGGUGAAAGACCCGAAAUCAGCCAGAGAUAGCUGGUUCUCCCAGCUAUUUGGUAGCGCCUCGUGAAUUCAUCUCCGGGGGUAGAAGUACUGUUAUUAUUUCGGCUGGGGAAGCAUCCCGGCUUACCAACCCGAUACAAACUGCGAAUACCGAGAGAUAUUUAUCACAGGAGACACACAGCAGUGCUAACGUCCGUCGUGAAGUAGCAGACCGCCAGCUAAGGUCCCAGUCAUGGUUAAGUGGGAAAAACGAUAUUGGGAAGGCCCAGACGAAAGCGGGAUGUUGGCUUAGAAGCGGCCAUCAUUUUAAAGAAAGCGUAAUAGCUCACUGGUCGAGUCGGCCUGCGCGGAAGAUGUAACGGGGGCUAAACCAUGCGUACCGAAGCUGCGGCAGCGACGCUUAUGCGUUGUUGGGUAGGGGAGCGUUCUGUAAGCCUGCGAAGGUGGCCUGUGAGGGUUGCUGGGGGUAUCAGAGAAGUACGAAUGCUUGACAUAAGUAACGAUAAAGCGGGUAGCCCGCUCGCCGGGGCCGAGUUUCCUGUCCAACGUUAAUCAGGGCAGGGUGGGAGUCACGACCCAAGAGCGAGGCCGAGGCGUAGUCGAUGAGGAAACAGGUUAUAUUCCCCGUACUUACAUUUUGCGAAGGGGACGGAGAAGGCUAUGUUGGCCGGGCGACGGUUGUCCCGGUUUAGCGUGUAGGUGUGUGUUCGGGUAAAUCCGGUUCACUUUAACACUGAGGCGUGACGUGAGGCACUACGGUGCUGAAGCAAAUACUUACUUCGGGAAAACCUCUAAGCAUCAGGUAACAUCAAAUCGUACCCAAACCGACACAGGUGGUCAGGUGCAGAGAACCACCAAGGCGCGAGAACUCCGGGUGAAGGAACUAGGCAAAAUGAUUUGCCGUAACUUCGGGAAGGCACGCUGACACGUAGGUGAAGUGAUUUUACUCACGGAGCUGAAGUCAGUCGAAAAGAUACCAGCACAAGCAACUGUUUAUUAAAAACACAGCACUGUGCAAACACGAAAAGUGGACGUAUACUGUGACGCCUGCCCGGUGCCGGAAGGUUGGUGAUGGGGUCGCGCAAGCGGCUCACAAUCGAAGCCCCGGUAAACGGCGGCCGUAACUAUAACGGUCCUAAGGUAGCGAAAUUCCUUGUCAGGUAGGAUUCCCGACCUGCACGAAUAAAGCGUAAUGAUGGCGGGCUGUCUCCACCCGAGACUCAGUGAAAUUGAACUCGCGCAUGAAGAUGCGAGAUGUACCCGCGGCAAGACGGAAAGACGGCAGAACGCUAUGAAAGCUUGACACUGAACGUGAGCCUUGAUGUGUAGGAUGGGUGGGAGGCUUUUGAAGUGUGGACGCCAGUCUCUGCAUGGGCCGACCUUGUCUCACCGCUAAUGUUUGAUGUUCCUAAUAUUGGACAUGUCCGGGUUGCGGACGGUGUCUGGUGGGUAGUUUGACUGGGGCGGUCUCCUCCUAAAGUAACGGAGCACGAGGUUGGCUAAUCUGGUCGGACAUCAGGAGGUUAGUGCAAUGGCAUAAGCCAGCUUGACUGCGAGCGUGACGGCGCGAGCGGGUACGUAGUCAUAGUGAUCCGGUGGUUCUGAAUGGAAGAUUGCAUCGCUCAACGGAUAAAGGUACUCCGGGGAUAACAGGCUGAUGAUAUUACCGCCAAGAGUUCAUAUCGACGGCGGUGUUUGGCACCACUCGAUGUGGCUCAUCACAUCACGGGGGCUGAAGUAGGUCCCAAGGGUGGCUGUUCGCCAUUUAAAGAGGUAUGGUACGCGAGCUGGAGUUUGGGAACGUCGUGAGACAGUUCGGUCCCCUAUCUGCCGUGGGCGCUGGAAACUGAGGGCUGCUCUAGUACGAGAGGACCGGAGUGGACAUCACUGGUGUUCGAGGUUGUCAUGCCAGUGGCACUGCCCAGUAGCGGAAAGAGAUAAGUGCUGAAAGCAUCUAAGCACGAAACUGCCCCAGAUGAUUCUCCUGAGACUAGAGUCUCCUGAAGGAACGUUGAAGACGGCAGCGUUGAUAGGCCGGGUGUAAGCGCAGCGUGCGUUGAGCCUAACCGGUACUAAUAGACAUUGAGCUUAUGCCC
rnacentral:rRNA from 1 species